AUUGAACGCUGGCGGCAGGCCUAACACAUGCAAGUCGAGCGCGCAAGUUCUUCGGUUUGUGUAAAGCGGCGGACGGGUGAGUAAUGCAUGGGAAUCUGCCUGCUAGUGUUGGACAAUGUCUCGAAUUGGACGCUCAUACCGCAUACGCCCUACGUAUGUUAGGGGGGGUUCUUCGGUCCUCUCGCUCUCUUUUGAUCCCAUGUCUGAUUAGCUAGUUGGUGGGGUAAAGGCUUACCAAGGCGACGAUCUGUAACUGGUCUGAGAGGAUGAUCAGUCACACUGGAACUGAGACACGGUCAAGACUCCUACGGGAGGCAGCAGUAGGGAAUAUUGGACAAUGGGCGAAAGCCUGAUGGAGCCAUGCCGCGUGAGUGAAGAAGGCCUUAGGGUUGUAAAACACUUUCAGUAGGGAGAAAGACAGGUGAAAGAAAACGUAGACAGAUUGAUGUUACCUACAGAGAAAGCACCGGCUAACUCCGUG
rnacentral:rRNA from 1 species